CUAGCCAAAUGCCUCGUCAUCUAAUUAGUGACGCGUAUGAAUGGAUCAACAAGAUUCCUUCUGUCCCUAUCUACUAUCUAGCGAAACCACAGCCAAGGGAACGGGCUUGGCAAAAUCAGCGGGGAAAGAAGACCCUGUUGAGCUUGACUCUAGUCUGACUCUGUGAAGAGACAUGAAAGG
rnacentral:ncRNA from 1 species